rnacentral:rRNA from 1 species
GGGUGAGUAAUACAUCGGAACGUGUCCGCUCGUGGGGGACAACCAGCCGAAAGGUUGGCUAAUACCGCAUGAGUUCUACGGAAGAAAGAGGGGGACCCGCAAGGGCCUCUCGCGAGCGGAGCGGCCGAUGACUGAUUAGCCGGUUGGUGAGGUAACGGCUCACCAAAGCAACGAUCAGUAGCUGGUCUGAGAGGACGACCAGCCACACUGGGACUGAGACACGGCCCAGACUCCUACGGGAGGCAGCAGUGGGGAAUUUUGGACAAUGGGCGCAAGCCUGAUCCAGCUAUUCCGCGUGUGGGAUGAAGGCCCUCGGGUUGUAAACCACUUUUGUAGAGAACGAAAAGACACCUUCGAAUAAAGGGUGUUGCUGACGGUACUCUAAGAAUAAGCACCGGCUAACUACGUGCCAGCAGCCGCGGUAAUACGUAGGGUGCGAGCGUUAAUCGGAAUUACUGGGCGUAAAGGGUGCGCAGGCGGUUGAGUAAGACAGAUGUGAAAUCCCCGAGCUUAACUCGGGAAUGGCAUAUGUGACUGCUCGGCUAGAGUGUGUCAGAGGGAGGUGGAAUUCCACGUGUAGCAGUGAAAUGCGUAGAUAUGUGGAAGAACACCGAUGGCGAAGGCAGCCUCCUGGGACAUAACUGACGCUCAGGCACGAAAGCGUGGGGGGCAAACAGGAUUAGAUACCCUGGUAGUCCACGCCCUAAACGAU